AUCACUUCUCCCCUCCACUCAGGUGUACUAUCUGUUCUUCUGAGUUUUAUCUUUGAUAUGUCCCCUAUCUGGGGACCAUAAAUUAAAUGGAUUUUUGAGAACUGGGGCAGAUUUCGAAGUUUGCUUCCGUCGCCCCAUGCAUUCACCCGAUAGAGCAGUAUCUUCGGGUACAGUACACCAAAA